UGGGUCUCAGUUUCUGUAUUUGCCCUGGUCUAGGUUUCACAGGUCCUGGCAGAAAGGCUUCAGAGUUUAUGGAUGGAGUGAGUCGUAGCCAAUUUCUGGUUUAAAUGAUGAAACCUCUUCCCUCUUUUCAUCUUGUGCUGUCUUCGGUUGGUUUUGAGAGAAGCAAGUUGUGUUUAAAUGACUCUCCAUCCUUUUCACCUGGACAUCAAGGGCCUUCUCAUCCAUCACCUCUUUCAAUCUUAACAACAACCCAGGGAAGUAGGCAAGGCUGGGUCCCCUGGGAGCAGAACAAAGAAUUGGAGAACCAGCACCUGAAAGUAGAACCAGACUGCAUGGCCAUCCACCGUAGGGAAGAGCAAGCAGUGAUCAGAUGUACCCUGCCCCUGAUGUGGGACCCAGCAUACUGUCAAACACUGGGGUUUCGGCUUGCCAGACUUCAGCUCAAAUAGCAUCUGUGUGACACUCCUGUCCUACUCUGCACUCCUGUGGCAGACAUCACCAAUCAUUCACAGCACUCCUUCUUCCUGACCCUGAAUUCAGUUCCAAAUUCCUUGUCAAGACAAUUUGUCAAUCAAGAAGACACAACCAACCAACCAACAUUAGCUUGUGAAAUGGAACCUGCUUGCCAGACCAGCAUUAGAGUCUCUCCAGCUGCUCCCAAUGUUGCUGGUGAAGUCAGGCAGUCCUGGGUUUCAGCUUCAGCUCUGUGAAUGGCUAACAAGGUGGACUUGGGCUAGCAUUUGUGUCACUCUCAGCCUCAGCUUUCCCACUGUGCAGGAGUUUGAACUCUCAGUUCGUCUGAACUCUCUCGGCGACACAAUCUGUCCUCGUUUCCAGUAGAGUUUCUAAUCCCUGCAACUUCCAUGGUCCUUCACAAUUUAAAUGAGCAAAGACAAUCAACUGAUGGCAAACUCCGAGGUGAGUCAGAUCCUGAAAUUAUCCGACAAUAAUUUUACAGCAGCCACCAUAAAAUGCUUCCACAAUCAAUUACACGUUGUCCUGAAAUGAAUGGAAAAACAGGAGGUCU
rnacentral:lncRNA from 10 species